GACAGAGGGUGCAAACGUUGUUCGGAAUUACUGGGCGUAAAGCGCGUGUAGGCGGCUUGGCAAGUCGGGUGUGAAAGCCCUGGGCUUAACCUAGGAAGUGCUUUCCAAACUACUGGGCUUGAAUACUGGAGAGGGUCGCGGAAUUCCCGGUGUAGAGGUGAAAUUCGUAGAUAUCGGGAGGAACACCAGUGGCGAAGGCGGCGACCUGGACAGAUAUUGACGCUGAGGUGCGAAAGCGUGGGGAGCAAACAGG
rnacentral:rRNA from 1 species